UACGUAGGGGGCAAGCGUUGUCCGGAAUCAUUGGGCGUAAAGCGCGUGUAGGCGGCCCGGUAAGUCCGCUGUGAAAGUCCAGGGCUCAACCCUGGGAUGCCGGUGGAUACUGUCGGGCUCGAGUCCGGAAGAGGCGAGUGGAAUUCCUGGUGUAGCGGUGAAAUGCGCAGAUAUCAGGAGGAACACCAAUGGCGAAGGCAGCUCGCUGGGACGUGACUGACGCUGAGGCGCGACAGCGUGGGGAGCAAACAGG
rnacentral:rRNA from 1 species